GGGUUUUUUUUUUAGCAUGGCUUUCUACACUGCUUUGUACAUCUUGUCCAAAGCUUAUGGAAAUCCAAGAUCUUCAUGUAGUUGCUUAAUUCAUUUUCAUCCGUGCUUGGUGAAAUUAGACAUUCUGCUAAGCGCUGCAGGUGUAGGCUGAAGGGGAUGUCACAUUUUUCAAAAAACAGGUAUAGCCCAACAGUACUGCUACUGUUGGGGUGUCCCAGCUCACUGCCUUCCUAUUGCUCUCAUCCGGAAACCAUGCAGGUGUCACACCUUCUGAUGGCUGCGGCGUGCUGGAUCUCAUUGCUCAUGCUGUGAGUGUUCGCACUGUUUGUGCUCACUCUCCUUGCUAUGCUUGUCACAUAGCUGCUUCUGCUGGACUUCGUGUUUUUUUGGUGCUACUCCAUCCCUCAAGCUGUAAAAUGUUCAGCUUGAGGUGUUUGUGUGUGGUGCUCGGCUCUGGUCUGAAUGCUUCUGAAUGAGAAGAGUGAAAAUAAUGCCAGAAUGACUUCAAAAUAUCUGAAUACCAUAGUUUUGUUACAAGAGAGUAUUUCUUAUUACUUUUAUUAUAUUUAUUGGUUGUGAACUGAUUGUGAAGAAGCUUACUGAAGAUGAGGUAAAUAUGCAUCACUUAGGCUUUUUCCUCUUGCACAGUUUUUGGGACGUCUGAUGUCAUGAUUUGUGUCCAGCCUGUCUACAGUGUUCUAGAUGGUGUAUCCAGAGUAUCUAAAGAACAUGUCAGAAAUCUUCCAUCUCUCAGCACAGGUCUCUUUCCCCCAUCACAGCUUCUCACUGAGGAAGCAGAAAAACCCAAGCAAAUUUCAUCAAAAUAAAAUUAUCCAAAAGAA